GCCAGGUGUGGUGGUGCACAUCUGUAAUCCCAGCAGCCGUUCUGGAGGCUGAGGCAGGAGGAUCACGAGUUCAAAGCCAGCCUCAGCAACUUAGCAAGGUCCUGUCUCUA
rnacentral:sRNA from 1 species